rnacentral:rRNA from 1 species
CGAAAGCCUGACGGAGCAAGACCGCGUGGGGGAAGAAGGCUCUUGGGUUGUAAACUCCUUUUCUCUGGGAAGAAUGACGGUACCAGAGGAAUCAGCAUCGGCUAACUCCGUGCCAGCAGCCGCGGUAAGACGGAGGAUGCAAGCGUUAUCCGGAAUGAUUGGGCGUAAAGCGUCCGCAGGUGGCAGUUCAAGUCUGCUGUCAAAGACCGGGGCUCAACUCCGGAAAGGCAGUGGAAACUGAACAGCUAGAGUAUGGUAGGGGCAGAGGGAAUUCCCGGUGUAGCGGUGAAAUGCGUAGAGAUCGGGAAGAACAUCGGUGGCGAAGGCGCUCUGCUGGACCAAAACUGACACUCAGGGACGAAAGCUAGGGGAGCGAAUGGGAUU